rnacentral:rRNA from 1 species
AUUGAACGCUGGCGGCAUGCCUUACACAUGCAAGUCGAACGGUAACAGGUCUUCGGACGCUGACGAGUGGCGAACGGGUGAGUAAUACAUCGGAACGUGCCCAGUCGUGGGGGAUAACUACUCGAAAGAGUAGCUAAUACCGCAUACGAUCUGAGGAUGAAAGCGGGGGACCUUCGGGCCUCGCGCGAUUGGAGCGGCCGAUGGCAGAUUAGGUAGUUGGUGGGGUAACGGCCUACCAAGGCGACGAUGCGUAGCCGACCUGAGAGGGUGACCGGCCACACUGGGACUGAGACACGGCCCAG